rnacentral:rRNA from 1 species
UACGUAGGGUGCAAGCGUUAAUCGGAAUUACUGGGCGUAAAGCGUGCGCAGGCGGCUUUGCAAGACAGAUGUGAAAUCCCCGGGCUUAACCUGGGAACUGCAUUUGUGACUGCAUGGCUGGAGUGCGGCAGAGGGGGAUGGAAUUCCGCGUGUAGCAGUGAAAUGCGUAGAUAUGCGGAGGAACACCGAUGGCGAAGGCGGCCCACUGGGCCGGUACUGACGCUGAGGCACGAAGGCGUGGGGAGCGAACGGG